CCUACGGGGGGCUGCAGUGGGGAAUAUUGGACAAUGGACGAAAGUCCGAUCCAGCGACACCGCGUGGGGGAUGAAGGCUUUCGGGUUGUAAACCCCUUUUCUGGGGGAAGAAUAAGGUCAGGAGGAAAUGCCUGUCCGAUGACGGUACUCCAGGAAUAAGCAUCGGCAAACUUCGUGCCAGCAGCCGCGGUAAGACGAGGGAUGCAAGCGUUAUCCGGAAUUACUGGGCGUAAAGGACGUCUAGGCGGUUGGAUAAGUCAUUUGUGAAAUCCCAGGGCUUAACCCUGGAAGGUCUUGUGAUACUGUCCAGCUUGGGUGUAGGAGAGGAGAGCGGAACUCACAGAGUAGCGGUGGAAUGCGUAGAUACUGUGAGGUACCCCGAUGGCGAAGGCAGCUCUCUGGCCUAUUACCGACGCUGAAGCGUGAAAGCGUGGGGAGCAAAGGGGAUUAGAUACCCUAGUAGUC
rnacentral:rRNA from 1 species